CGCGUAGGCGGGAUGGCAAGUCGGUCGUGAAAUCCUUCGGCCCAACCGAAGAACGUCGGCCGAUACUGCCGUUCUUGAGGGAUGCAGAGGAGACUGGAAUUCCCGGUGUAGCGGUGAAAUGUGUAGAGAUCGGGAGGAACACCGGUGGCGAAGGCGGGUCUCUGGGCAUUUCCUGACGCUGAGGCGCGAAAGCGUGGGGAGCAAACGGGAUUAGAUACCCCGGUAGUCCACGCUGUAAACGAUGACGACUAGGUGUGGGGGGGUUAGUCCCUUCCGUGCCGCAGCUAACGCAUUAAGUCGUCCGCCUGGGGAGUACGGCCGCAAGGUUGAA
rnacentral:rRNA from 1 species